GAUGAAGAACGUAGCGAAAUGAGAUACGUAAUGUGAAUUGCAGAAUUCAGUGAAUCAUCGAAUCUUUGAACGCAUAUUGCGCUCUUUGGUAUUCCGAAGAGCAUGCUUGUUUGAGUAUCAGUAAACACCUCAACCUCUUCUUGAUUUUUCAAAAGGAGGGUGGACUUGAGCUAUCCCAACAACCUUUACCGGUCGGCGGGCGGCUUGAAAUGCAGGUGCAGCUGGACUUUUAUCUGAGCUAAAAGCAUAUCUAUUUAGUCCUCGUCAAACAGGAUUAUUACUUUUGCUGCAGCUAACAUAAAGGAUAAUUGUCCUCUUUGCUGACUGAUGCAGGAUUUUACGACACUUUAUGUGUUGUUCAACUCGAUCUCAAAUCAAGUAAGACUACCCGCUGAACUUAAGCAUAUCAAUAAGCGGAGGA
rnacentral:misc_RNA from 1 species